rnacentral:rRNA from 1 species
CGCGUAGGUGGCUUGGUAAGCGUGUGGUGAAAGCCUGGGGCUCAACCCCAGGUCUGCCGUGCGAACUGCCAAGCUUGAGCGUAGUAGAGGCAGGUGGAAUUUCGGGUGUAGCGGUGGAAUGCGUAGAUAUCCGAAAGAACACCGGUGGCGAAGGCGGCCUGCUGGGCUACUGCUGACACUGAGGCGCGACAGCGUGGGGAGCAAACAGGAUUAGAUACCCUGGUAGUCCACGCCGUAAACGAUGGGUACUAGGCGUCUGGGGGAGCGACCCCCUGGGUGCCGGCGCUAACGCAUGAAGUACCCCGCCUGGGGAGUACGGCCGCAAGGCUGAA